AGGAGCCGUGUGCUGUGAAAGUAGCAAGCACGGUUCUGAAUGGGAGUCGGAGGUUGUAAAACCUCCUUCGACCCCUAAU
rfam:Lyngbya sp. PCC 8106 1099428180498, whole genome shotgun sequence.